AUUGAACGCUGGCGGCAGGCCUAACACAUGCAAGUCGAACGGUAGCACAGAGAGCUUGCUCUCGGGUGACGAGUGGCGGACGGGUGAGUAAUGUCUGGGAAACUGCCCGAUGGAGGGGGAUAACUACUGGAAACGGUAGCUAAUACCGCAUAAUGUCGCAAGACCAAAGAGGGGGACUUUCGGGCCUCUUGCCAUCGGAUGUGCCCAGAUGGGAUUAGCUAGUUGGUGAGGUAAUGGCUCACCAAGGCGACGAUCCCUAGCUGGUCUGAGAGGAUGACCAGCCACACUGGAACUGAGACACGGUCCAGACUCCUACGGGAGGCAGCAGUGGGGAAUAUUGCACAAUGGGCGCAAGCCUGAUGCAGCCAUGCCGCGUGUAUGAAGAAGGCCUUCGGGUUGUAAAGUACUUUCAGCGGGGAGGAAGGCAAUGCGGUUAAUAACCGUGUUGAUUGACGUUACCCGCAGAAGAAGCACCGGCUAACUCCGUG
rnacentral:rRNA from 1 species